AUUGAACGCUGGCGGCAGGCCUAACACAUGCAAGUCGAGCGGAUGAAGGGAGCUUGCUCUCUGAUUCAGCGGCGGACGGGUGAGUAAUGCCUAGGAAUCUGCCUGAUAGUGGGGGACAACGUUUCGAAAGGAACGCUAAUACCGCAUACGUCCUACGGGAGAAAGCAGGGGACCUUCGGGCCUUGCGCUAUCAGAUGAGCCUAGGUCGGAUUAGCUAGUAGGUGGGGUAAAGGCUCACCUAGGCGACGAUCCGUAACUGGUCUGAGAGGAUGAUCAGUCACACUGGAACUGAGACACGGUCCAGACUCCUACGGGAGGCAGCAGUGGGGAAUAUUGGACAAUGGGCGAAAGCCUGAUCCAGCCAUGCCGCGUGUGUGAAGAAGGUCUUCGGAUUGUAAAGCACUUUAAGUUGGGAGGAAGGGCAGUAAGUUAAUACCUUGCUGUUUUGACGUUACCAACAGAAUAAGCACCGGCUAACUUCGUGCCAGCCGCCGCAGUAAAAC
rnacentral:rRNA from 1 species